rnacentral:rRNA from 1 species
CCUACGGGGGGCUGCAGUGAGGAAUAUUGGUCAAUGGGCGGAAGCCUGAACCAGCCAAGUAGCGUGCAGGAUGACGGCCCUACGGGUUGUAAACUGCUUUUAUACGGGAAUAACGCGCCUUACGUGUAGGGCUUUGUAUGUACCGUAUGAAUAAGGACCGGCUAAUUCCGUGCCAGCAGCCGCGGUAAUACGGAAGGUCCGGGCGUUAUCCGGAUUUAUUGGGUUUAAAGGGUGCGUAGGCGGAAUAUCAAGUCAGCGGUAAAAAUUCGGGGCUCAACCCCGUCGUGCCGUUGAAACUGAUGUUCUUGAGUGGGCGAGAAGUAUGCGGAAUGCGUGGUGUAGCGGUGAAAUGCAUAGAUAUCACGCAGAACUCCGAUUGCGAAGGCAGCAUACCGGCGCCCAACUGACGCUGAAGCACGAAAGCGUGGGUAUCGAACAGGAUUAGAUACCCUUGUAGUC